AGUAUUAAAAGGGAAAUGUGUUUCUCACAGUGCUAGGUCCCUUCUCAUGGGAUCGAAUAGCAGAGUCCUGGCUACGGGUUCAAAUGCCCUGCUGAAAUCCUCAGACAAUUCCAACAUCCACAAAGCUACGAAAGGAGCUGACUUGGGGACUACUAUUGAGAGAUACAGGACCUUUCUCCACAUCCUCCUCAGACAAGCCAUUCAAAUCACUACAGUUUAUACUGUAAGGUACUUUCUAUUACACUCUGGUACAUUGUUAUCUAUAAAAUAUAUACUCAAGUAAAUGAGUUACAAAUAUUUAUUUUUAUUACAUAAUUAAACUGGAC
rnacentral:lncRNA from 1 species